rnacentral:rRNA from 1 species
AUUGAACGCUGGCGGCAGGCCUAACACAUGCAAGUCGAACGAGUGGCGGACUGGUGAGUAAUGUCUGGGAAACUGCCUGAUGGAGGGGGAUAACUACUGGAAACGUUAGCUAAUACCGCAUACCCUCAGAUGUGCCCAGAGGGGAUUAGCUUGUUGGUGGGGUAACGGCUCACAAAGGCGACGAUCCCUAGCUGGUCUGAGAGGAGGACCAGCCACACUGGAACUGAGACACGGUCCAGACUCCUACGGGAGGCAGCAGUGGUGAAUAUUGGACAAUGGGCGAAAGCCUGAUGCAGCCAUGCCGCGUGUAUGAAGAAGGCCUUCGGGUUGUAAAGUACUGUCAGCGGGGAGGCGUUACCCGCAGAGGAAGCACCGGCUAACUCCGUGCCAGCAGCCGCGGUAAUAC